AUCCAACUAGCAUGACCAUGACCCUGUAUCCUCUGUCUCCUUUUCUUAUAUAUCAUAAUAUCGUACGUAGGAGAAGACUCAACACAAGGAGAAGACUCAACACAAGGAGAAGACUCAACACAAGGAGAAGACUCAACACAAGGAGAAGACUCAACACAAGGAGAAGACUCAACACAAGGAGAAGACUCGACAGGUAGGUAAUCAACAAGUAGAAGAAUCGUCGCAAGGACAGGACUCGUCACUAGGAGAGGAUUCGACAGGUAGGUAAUUGACACGAGGACACUCGUUGCAAGGACAGGACUCGUCUUAAGCACAGGACUCGUCAGGUAGUCUUCUCCUUGUGUAGAUUACCUAACGGAGAGAACUCAACACGAGGACUCGACUGGUAGGUAAUCGACACAAGGAGAAGACUCGUCGCAAGGAGAAGACUCGUCGCAAGGAGAAGACUCGUCGCAAGGAGAAGACUCGUCGCAAGGAGAAGACUCGUCGCAAGGAGAAGACUACGCAAGGAGAAGACUCGUCGCAAGGAGAAGACUCGUCGCAAGGAGAAGACUACGCAAGGACAGGAAUCGACAUAAGGAGAGGACUCGACAGGUAGGUAAUCGACACAAGGAGAAGACUCUACACGAGAGGACUCGAAAGGUAGGUAAUCAACACAAGUUGAAGACACUUCACAAGGACAGGACUCGACAUAAGGAGAGGACUCGACACGAGUGGACUCGACAGGUAGGUAAUCGACACAAGGAGAAGACUCUGCACAAGGAGAUGACUCGACAGGAGUAGACUCGACAGGUAGGUAAUCGACACAAGUAGAAGACUGUUCACAAGGACAGGACUCGUCGCAAGCACAGGACUCGUCAGAUAGGUAAUCUACGCAAGGAGAAGACUCUACGCAAGGAGAAGACUCUACGCAAGAAGACUCUACGCAAGGAGAAGACUCUACGCAAGGAGAAGACUCUACGCAAGGAGAAGACUCUACGCAAGGAGAAGACUCUACGCAAGGAGAAGACUUGACAGGUAGGUAAUCAACAAGUAGAAGAAUCGUCGCAAGGACAGGACUCGUCACUAGGAGAGGAUUCGACAGGUAGGUAAUUGACACGAGGACACUCGUUGCAAGGACAGGACUCGUCUUAAGCACAGGACUCGUCAGGUAGGUAAUCUACACAAGGAGAAGACUAACGGAGAGAACUCAACACGAGGACUCGACUGGUAGGUAAUCGACACAAGGAGAAGACUCGUCGCAAGGAGAAGACUCGUCGCAAGGAGAAGACUCGUCGAAAGGAGAAGACUCGUCGCAAGGAGAAGACUCGUCGCAAGGAGAAGACUACG
rnacentral:lncRNA from 13 species